rnacentral:lncRNA from 9 species
CUGUGAGUCACGACGAGAAAGGUUGAGAAAGGUUGUUAGGGACAGUGGUGCAAAGUACGUAGCAUCGGGAAGGCCUGCUCUCCCUCCCCCUGCCUGAGUCUCCUAUUGCCAAAGUAUUCCAAAGAGAAGUAUUACGUGUCUAAGAAGAGAAAAGAGGUGACGCAUUGGGAGGAUGGAGCGUGAACACAGGAGCACCCUGUGGGAAGAGUAGGGAAGCGGAAAUGAUCUCCUGCCAUUUCAGCAGAUGGAGGAAUGGGGCCGGAGGUGAAAAUGGGCAGGAGGACUCGGGAGGCUCUCUGGUGGCAGCAGAGCCGGCAUGCUCGUGUUGGCCAUUUCUCAGCUGGGGAAUCCGCCACGGAGAGGUUCCCUUUAGCAAGAGAGGCAGAGGCUCCCUUUCUCAGGUCUUUCAGGGUGCUGUCUGCCUUCCUUCGAGACGUUUCCCCAGGAGGAUGGGCCAAGAGGAGCUCCGUCCGUGCCUCAUCCCGCCCCCGCCCCCAGCCCCAGCCCUCGACUCCCAGCCCCUGUCCAGUCAGGUGAGGCGCCCAGAGUACCUCGUGAGCAGCACCACCGCCUUGCUGACAGUGACUUGUGUGUCCCCAGGAACUCACGACGACGAUGUUGUGGAGGCCGGUGGGAGUGAGAAGACUGAGGCAAAGCCCCGGGCUGGGGGACAUGAGGACGAGGCGGCCCCAGUACCUGAGGUGGAGGUGGAGGAGGAGGCGGGCCAGCCCCGUGAAAAUGGCCAGGAGGAGUCCUUAGCCAUCGCCUGGGCUGAGCCGGAAGACGAGCCUGGCCCCAAGGUGGACGGGGCGGACGAUGAAAUCUCUUGGAGCUUGGAGAGUGUGUGUGAGAGCGACCUCGCUGACAGCAACCUCGCAGAAAGUGAUCGAGACUCGGUGGCGGAGCGCACCGACUGCCGCCAGGAUGAGGAGGCUGCAGGAACUCACGACGACGAUGUUGUGGAGGCCGGUGGGAGUGAGAAGACUGAGGCAAAGCCCCGGGCUGGGGGACAUGAGGACGAGGCGGCCCCAGUACCUGAGGUGGAGGUGGAGGAGGAGGCGGGCCAGCCCCGUGAAAAUGGCCAGGAGGAGUCCUUAGCCAUCGCCUGGGCUGAGCCGGAAGACGAGCCUGGCCCCAAGGUGGACGGGGCGGACGAUGAAAUCUCUUGGAGCUUGGAGAGUGUGUGUGAGAGCGACCUCGCUGACAGCAACCUCGCAGAAAGUGAUCGAGGUAAGAACAGCUCUCAGGUAGGAGCCAGUGGGAGAGGGUUCCCGGGACACUUGGUUAGGCCUGCUGCUUGGAGGGUGGGGCGGGUGAGUGUGCAAUUGCAAAAGAGAAAGAAAUUGGUGUAAAGAUGUUCGUCGCCUAUGUUCCUAAGGAGGGGGAGCAGGUAUGAGAUGCCCGAAUGUUGGCAUCUGUGCUCACGUUGUGUUGGCGGGCCUCAGUCCCUGGAGCAGAGGGAAGGCCUGGGCACCUGGAGGAAAAACCCGGGUGAUGCUGUGUGACCCGCCGUCACCUCGGGGAAGCCGGGGAAACGGGAGGGCCACUCCUUCUCACGCCUCGCUUCC